GAUCAUGGCUCAGGAUGAACGCUAGCUACAGGCUUAACACAUGCAAGUCGAGGGGCAGCAUGGUCUUAGCUUGCUAAGGCCGAUGGCGACCGGCGCACGGGUGAGUAACACGUACCCAACCUGCCGUCUACUCUUGGACAGCCUUCUGAAAGGAAGAUUAAUACAAGAUGGCAUCAUGAGUUCACAUGUUCACAUGAUUAAAGGUAUUCCGGUAGACGGUGGGG
rnacentral:rRNA from 1 species